rnacentral:tRNA from 1 species
UGGGGCGUCGCCAAGCGGUAAGGCAACGGUUUUUGGUAUCGUCAUGCGUUGGUUCGAAUCCAGCCGCCCCAG